AUAUCUUUCUUGACUUUUUGGCUAGAUCCAACUGUUGUAUCUGUUCUUAUCAGUUUAAAAUCUGAUACAUGGGCCAUUGGCUCACAUGACAUUUAAUUAAUUUCUUGUGGGGGAAGGCCCACUGUAGUAGCUUGAUACUGGGGCCCUCGAGCAUCGCCCCUGUGUUGCACUACUGCGUUGGGAUGCUGCACCCCUA